UACGAAGGGGGCUAGCGUUGUUCGGAUUCAUUGGGCGUAAAGGGUGCGUAGGUGGCGCGCUAAGUCAGGUGUGAAAUUUCGGAGCUUAACUCCGAAACUGCAUUUGAUACUGGCGUGCUUGAGGACUGGAGAGGAGACUGGAAUUCACGGUGUAGCAGUGAAAUGCGUAGAGAUCGUGAGGAAGACCAGUGGCGAAGGCGGGUCUCUGGACAGUUCCUGACACUGAGACACGAAGGCCAGGGGAGCAAACGGG
rnacentral:rRNA from 1 species